UUGGCAAAGCUCCAGCCUUUUCCACUGUACCACUUCGGGUGACUCUAACUUUCAUAACAUUAUGCAGUGCAGUGCUGUGAUUCAAAAGGAAAUUUGGCACCGCCGUUUGUUUUUAAUUGGUGGAAGAGCAGCAUGAUAAAAUAGAUUGACCUUUUAAGGAUUUCUGACAUUCAAAAGAUUUAAUAUAGCUACUAAAACGCAAAGAAAAAGUAAGUCUUUUCUAUUUUUUUCCCUCGCCAGGAGCUGAACCUCUCAUUUCAAGACCUGGGUGAUCUUUACCAGGUGGAAAACUCCAGAAGGAUUCUCCAAAGAUUGAUACGGGUCGAAAAACUUUGGUUGGUGGACAAUUCUUUGACAGACCUAAGUGCCAUACGGUUGCCAAGAUGCAGAGAGCUAAAUGUCAACAAAAACUACUUUACAUCCUUCAGACAGUUGCCAAAGUUACCUCAGAUUCAGCACCUGUCACUGGCUGAAAAUAACAUUAUGACACUGAGUGGAAUAUCAGACUUGAGACAUACUCCGCUUGAAUCCCUUAUACUCAAGAGGAAUCCCUGUGAGUUUCAAGAAAGCUACAGGCAGCAUGUAUUCUCCAGUUUGCCAAAUCUGAAGGUACUGGAUGGUGUCCCAAAACUGCCAGAGGACUAUUCACCCCCAGAUACCAGUUUUUUCCCCAGAAUGUGCACUGUACUCUAGCACUGUAUUUGUGUGGGAUCACAGCUGUGCUAGAAUCACCUUACUUAAAA